CGUAAGAACUUGCCCUUGGGAGGGGGACAACAACUGGAAACGGCUGCUAAUACCCCGUAAGCUGAGGAGCAAAAGGGAGGGAUCCGCCCAAGGAGGGGCUUGCGUCUGAUUAGCUGGUUGGUGAGGCAAUGGCUUACCAAGGCGACGAUCAGUAGCUGGUCUGAGAGGAUGAUCAGCCACACUGGGACUGAGACACGGCCCAUACUCCGUAGGGAGGCAGCAGUGGGGAAUCUUCCGCAAUGGGCGAAAGCCUGACGGAGCAAUGCCGGGUGGAGGCAGAAGGCCCACGGGUCGUAAACUCCUUUUCU
rnacentral:rRNA from 1 species